rnacentral:miRNA from 1 species
GUCACGUAGGGCACCGGUGA